UGGGGAAUUUUGGACAAUGGGGGCAACCCUGAUCCAGCCAUUCCGCGUGAGUGAAGAAGGCCUUCGGGUUGUAAAGCUCUUUCAGCUGGAACGAAACGGUGCGCUCUAACAUAGCGCGCUACUGACGGUACCAGCAGAAGAAGCACCGGCUAACUACGUGCCAGCAGCCGCGGUAAUACGUAGGGUGCGAGCGUUAAUCGGAAUUACUGGGCGUAAAGCGUGCGCAGGCGGAUUGUUAAGCAAGACGUGAAAUCCCCGGGCUUAACCUGGGAAUGGCGUUUUGAACUGGCAGUCUAGAGUGCGUCAGAGGGAGGUGGAAUUCCACGUGUAGCAGUGAAAUGCGUAGAGAUGUGGAGGAACACCGAUGGCGAAGGCAGCCCCCUGGGAUGACACUGACGCUCAUGUACGAAAGCGUGGGUAGCAAACA
rnacentral:rRNA from 1 species